rnacentral:rRNA from 1 species
UACAGAGGUCUCAAGCGUUGUUCGGAUUCAUUGGGCGUAAAGCGCACGUAGGCGGAUUGCUAAGUCAGGGGUGAAAUCCUGGAGCUCAACUCCAGAACUGCCUUUGAUACUGGCGACCUUGAGUCCGGGAGAGGUGAGUGGAACUGCGAGUGUAGAGGUGAAAUUCGUAGAUAUUCGCAAGAACACCAGUGGCGAAGGCGGCUCACUGGCCCGGUACUGACGCUGAGGAGCGAAAGCGUGGGGAGCAAACAGG